rnacentral:rRNA from 1 species
AGAGUUUGAUCCUGGCUCAGGAUGAACGCUAGCGGCAGGCUUAAUACAUGCAAGUCGAGGGGUAGCAUGAUUGUAGCAAUACAAUUGAUGACGACCGGCAAACGGGUGCGGAACACGUACACAACCUUCCUACAAGUGGGGAAUAGCCCAGAGAAAUUUGGAUUAAUACCCCGUAACAUAGCGAUGUGGCAUCACAUUGCUAUUAUAGCUUCGGCGCUUGUUGAUGGGUGUGCGGCUGAUUAGAUAGUUGGCGGGGUAACGGCCCACCAAGUCUACGAUCAGUAGCUGAUGUGAGAGCAUGAUCAGCCACACGGGCACUGAGACACGGGCCCGACUCCUACGGGAGGCAGCAGUAAGGAAUAUUGGACAAUGGACGCAAGUCUGAUCCAGCCAUGCCGCGUGAAGGAUUAAGGUCCUCUGGAUUGUAAACUUCUUUUAUAAGGGACGAAAAAAGGUCUUUCUAGAUCGUCUGACGGUACCUUAUGAAUAAGCACCGGCUAACUCCGUGCCAGCAGCCGCGGUAAUACGGAGGGUGCAAGCGUUAUCCGGAUUCACUGAGUUUAAAGGGUGCGU